UCAGUUCGCGGAUCCAUCCAGCCGUUUUGGAGAACCGGCACUCAUGGCCGUGCGGGACCGACGAGUCAAUAUGAAUACAGAUUGUUAUAGCAACGGAUAGAGGGACCAAUUCUAAGCUAAUUCGUGUUAAAAUGGCUUCCCUCGACAACCUGACCACGUAGCUACAGCCUGCUAAAGUCGAAAAU